GACGAAAUAUGCGUUGCCAAGUAGUAUUUAUUUGUAGAAGAUCAAUGAAAUAUGCGUUGCCAAGUAGUAUUUAUUUGUAGAAGGUCAAUAAAUUUUGCGUUGUCAAGUAGCAUUUAUUUGUAGAGGUUCAAUAAAUUUUGCGUUGCCAAGUAGUAUUUAUUUGUAGAAGGUCAAUAAAUUUUGCGUUGUCAAGUAGCAUUUAUUUGUAGAAGGUCAAUAAAUUUUGCGUUGCCAAGUAUUAUUUAU
rnacentral:sRNA from 1 species